rnacentral:rRNA from 1 species
GACGAACGCUGUUCGGCGCGCUUAACACAUGCAAGUCGAACGGAAAGGCCCUGCUUUUGUGGGGUGCUCGAGUGGCGAACGGGUGAGUAACACGUGAGUAACCUGCCCUUGACUUUGGGAUAACUUCAGGAAACUGGGGCUAAUACCGGAUAGGAGCUCCUGCUGCAUGGUGGGGGUUGGAAAGUUUCGGCGGUUGGGGAUGGACUCGCGGCUUAUCAGCUUGUUGGUGGGGUAGUGGCUUACCAAGGCUUUGACGGGUAGCCGGCCUGAGAGGGUGACCGGCCACAUUGGGACUGAGAUACGGCCCAGACUCCUACGGGAGGCAGCAGUGGGGAAUAUUGCACAAUGGGCGGAAGCCUGAUGCAGCAACGCCGCGUGCGGGAUGACGGCCUUCGGGUUGUAAACCGCUUUCGCCUGUGACGAAGCGUGAGUGACGGUAAUGGGUAAAGAAGCACCGGCUAACUACGUGCCAGCAGCCGCGGUGAUACGUAGGGUGCGAGCGUUGUCCGGAUUUAUUGGGCGUAAAGGGCUCGUAGGUGGUUGAUCGCGUCGGAAGUGUAAUCUUGGGGCUUAACCCUGAGCGUGCUUUCGAUACGGGUUGACUUGAGGAAGGUAGGGGAGAAUGGAAUUCCUGGUGGAGCGGUGGAAUGCGCAGAUAUCAGGAGGAACACCAGUGGCGAAGGCGGUUCUCUGGGCCUUUCCUGACGCUGAGGAGCGAAAGCGUGGGGAGCGAACAGGCUUAGAUACCCUGGUAGUCCACGCUGUAAACGGUGGGUACUAGGUGUGGGGUCCAUUCCACGGGUUCCGUGCCGUAGCUAACGCUUUAAGUACCCCGCCUGGGGAGUACGGCCGCAAGGCUAAAACUCAAAGGAAUUGACGGGGCCCCGCACAAGCGGCGGAGCAUGCGGAUUAAUUCGAUGCAACGCGUAGAACCUUACCUGGGUUUGACAUGGAUCGGGAGUGCUCAGAGAUGGGUGUGCCUCUUUUGGGGUCGGUUCACAGGUGGUGCAUGGCUGUCGUCAGCUCGUGUCGUGAGAUGUUGGGUUAAGUCCCGCAACGAGCGCAACCCUUGUUCACUGUUGCCAGCACGUUAUGGUGGGGACUCAGUGGAGACCGCCGGGGUCAACUCGGAGGAAGGUGGGGAUGACGUCAAGUCAUCAUGCCCCUUAUGUCCAGGGCUUCACGCAUGCUACAAUGGCUGGUACAGAGAGUGGCGAGCCUGUGAGGGUGAGCGAAUCUCGGAAAGCCGGUCUCAGUUCGGAUUGGGGUCUGCAACUCGACCUCAUGAAGUCGGAGUCGCUAGUAAUCGCAGAUCAGCAACGCUGCGGUGAAUACGUUCCCGGG